CGCGACAUCAAGACAAGAAGCAGCAUGUGGUUGACAAAUCAUCGAGCGAGGAGGCGUCUAUGAUCAUUUAAACGAGUUUUAUAACAAGAUGGACGUUUUCCUAUGGAGUGGGGAUGGCACAAGUGUGGCGAGGGAUUUGUGCUAAUUAAGACAACCCUACCUCCUGAGAAGCUCAUGAAGGUCAUAAGGUGCAGCGGCCAGUCUGACCGCAGCACCCUGAGAUGAAACAAUAUAGAAUGAGUCAACUGCCUGUGGACACUGCAGGGGAGUGAGCUGCACAAACUCAAUGCAGAUGGCCUGUGAUGAAAAUGAAGAUGAGAUUCUCUAGUGGUGCAUUGUACUCAUCCCCCAGAAACAGUCCCACGGAUCCAGCCCCAACCCCCAUCUCUUUAAUAAUAAUUCAUAAACGCUGGUUUAAAGUACUCAUUCCUGCCUCUAUGUAUUAAUUCUCAUGGGUAGCCUAAAUUCAGACCUUAACAUUAAGUAUUUACUGUUAUAGACCAUUUUGCAAGAUGUAAA